CGCCCCGGCACUGAGCGCUCGCUCGCACCCGCGGCAGCGCCGCUUGCCCGCAGCCUCUUCGCCUGCUGUCGGGAGGCCGGAGCAGGACUUUAGAGCUGCCCCCUUAUUUUCGUCCUCUUCAGUGGAGAAAUGAAAAGGCCUGUGUGCACUUCACAGGAAAUGAAUGUCUGAUACAAGCUUGCAGACUGCACAUUUCCAAGAACUGCUCUCAAGAAACCAACCAUGCUUGCAGGCUUGCCUGCCUUGAAGAGUACUCGGAACGCAUCAAACUAUCUUGUGGGUUUUCUUUGGGUAAAAAACCUUUUAGCCUGUAUCAGCAAAGUGUCACGCUAAAGCAGAAAGCACAUGUCAUGGAAAAGUAUGACAAGAAACACAAAACUGAAACAUCAAAUCCAUGGAAAGGAAGAACUUGCUCUUAA
rnacentral:lncRNA from 1 species